AGUGGCAGACGGGUGAGUAACGCGUGGGAAUCUACCUUGUAGUGGGGAAUAGCCUUUCGAAAGAGAGGGUAAUACCGCAUGUUUCCAAAUUUAUUUGGAAAAAGACUUCGGUCGCUAUAAGAGGAGCCCGCGUCCUAUCAGGUAGUUGGUGGGGUAAUAGCCUACCAAGCCAAUGACGGGUAGCCGGUGUGAGAGCACGACCGGCCACAAGGUCACUGAAACACGGGGCCUACACCUACGGGUGGCAGCAACCGGGAAUAUUGCGCAAUGGGCGAAAGCCUGACGCAGCGACACCGCGUGUGGGAAGAAGCUUUUCGGAGUGUAAACCACUGUGGCAAGGGAAGAAUUUUUGACGGUACCUUGCUAGAAAGCACCUGCUAACUACGUGCCAGAAGCCUCGGUAAUACGUGGGGUGCAAGCGUUAUCCGGAUUUAUUGGGCGUAAAGAGUUCCGCAGGCGUCUUUACAAGUUUCUUGUUUAAGCCUGAGGCUCAACUUCAGAAAAGCAAGAAAAACUGUAAAGAUUGAGUUUGUUUGGGGAAGCUGGAAUUCUCGGUGGAGGGGUGAAAUCCGUAGAUAUCGAGAGGAACACCAAUCGCGAAGGCAAGCUUCUAAAACAAUACUGACGCUAAGGGACGAAAGCUUGGGUAGCAAAAGGGAUUAGAGACCCCUGUAGUCCAAGCCGUAAACUUUCCUCGCUAGUUGCCUGGUUAAUAAUGCAU
rnacentral:rRNA from 1 species